AGAAAUAGAGAACGAGUCUGCUGAACUGCAAGUAAGGAUUCGGGAAGUAAUGGUGGAGAUUUCAAGAUCCAGGAGUCAGUCAUAUUUGCAAUGGCUGAGAGAUGCUAGGAAGAUGCAAGAUAACUUGACCAGACUGCAAAACGAUGUGAGGACUACCAUCAAAAUUUUAAAAGGAAGGUCCAUAAAGCAAUUGCUGAUGAGAAGUUACUUCAACAGGUCAACGUUGGUGCCCAAACAGUCCACAGAAACAUUCCCAAGAGGUUUCUACUCUUCUCCUGACAUUCCAUCAAUGCUUGAAGACCUGGAAUUCAAAUCUGCCCAGAAAUGGAAGAGCGAAAACAGAAGCAUAGAAUUCAAGAAUCCAAUUGUCGAAAAAAUAGAAGAUUUGGAAGAAAUGUUGGCUAAUUUAAAGCAAUUACAGAAUAACGUGGUCAAAUCCUUUCUGCUAAAAGACAUUGAUCCCAGAUUACAGAAUAUAUCCCAGCUGCCAGAAAGAGACACACCACUGCAAGGUCAUGAGCUUUUAUACAACCAACCAGAAACUGAAGAAAUGG